AGCAGCCGCGGUAAUUCCAGCUCCAAUAGCGUAUAUUAAAGUUGUUGCAGUUAAAAGCUCGUAGUUGAAUUUCGGGGUUAGUAGGUUGGUCAUGCCUCUGGUAUGUACUGGUCUCACUGAUUCCUCCUUCCUGAUGAGCCGUAAUGCCAUUAAUUUGGUGUUGCGGGGAAUUUGGACUGUUACUUUGAAAAAUUAGAGUGUUUAAAGCAAGCUAACGCUUGAAUACAUUAGCAUGGAAUAAUGAAAUAGGACGUUCGAUCCUAUUUUGUUGGUUUCUAGGAUUGACGUAAUGAUUAAUAGGGAUAGUUGGGGGCAUUAGUAUUCAAUUGUCAGAGGUGAAAUUCUUGGAUUUAUUGAAGACUAACUACUGCGAAAGCAUUUGCCAAGGAUGUUUUCAUUAAUCAAGAACGAAAGUUAGGGGAUCGAAGACGAUCAGAUACCGUCGUAGUCUUAACCAUAAACUAUGCCGACUAGGGAUCGGAUGAUGUAAUUUUU
rnacentral:rRNA from 1 species